GUGUGGUUUUUGUUGAAUGAAGCUGUGACCGGACGUGUGUGUUUCCAGGAGCGCAGGACGGGCGUGUAGUGUGGUGGCCAUAAACAGCCGCGUCCGCACUGCAGACGCCGGGACUAUUGGAUGUAUAAUGUAAUAUCUAUUUCUUAGCAGACGCCCUUAUCCAGAGCGACUUACAAUCAUGGCCCAGCUGCAUCGCUCAUUUUUAAUGAUAUCUAUGAACAAAAAUCAGUCAAAGCUACUCACAUAACACUUUCCAACAGAAAUCAAACACAACUCUUCAAGCCUGGACUCUUACUGCAGAAACUAAAGACUAAACACUGUCCCUCUCACGCAUGACCAAUAAAGACAAGAGGACGCAGUGAUAGAACCGCAGAGUUAUUUAGUGCAAUUGAAAACAAAGCCAGAUGCGCAAAGUAUUUCAUACAUCUCAAAAUAAAAAUAUAAACAUUAUUCUUUA